AGGUGUCCUAAGGGGAGCUCAGCGAGAACAGAAAUCUCGCGUAGAACAAAAGGGUAAAAGCUCCCUUGAUUUUGAUUUUCAGUGUGAAUACAAACCGUGAAAGCGUGGCCUAUCGAUCCUUUAAAUUGAGAGAUUUUCUUGUUAGAGGUGUCAGAAAAGUUACCAUAGGGAUAACUGGCUUGUGGCAGCCAAGCGUUCA
rnacentral:rRNA from 1 species